UACGUAGGGGGCUAGCGUUGUCCGGAAUCAUUGGGCGUAAAGAGCGUGUAGGCGGCCCGGUAAGUCCGCUGUGAAAGUCGGGGGCUCAACCCUCGAAUGCCGGUGGAUACUGUCGGGCUAGAGUGCGGGAAGAGGCGAGUGGAAUUCCUGGUGUAGCGGUGAAAUGACGCAGAUAUCAGGAGGAACACCAAUAGCGAAGGCAGCUCGCUGGGACGGUACUGACGCUGAGACGCGAAAGCGUGGGGGAGCAAACAGG
rnacentral:rRNA from 1 species